rnacentral:rRNA from 1 species
UCACCAUGCCGCGUGUGUGAAGAAGCCUUUGGUUGUAAAGCACUUUAAGCGAGGAGGAGGCUACUGGAUUAUACUCUAGGAUAGUGGACGUUACUCGCAGAAUAAGCACCGGCUAACUCUGUGCCAGCAGCCGCGGUAAUACAGAGGGUGCGAGCGUUAAUCGGAUUUACUGGGCGUAAAGCGUGCGUAGGCGGCUGAUUAAGUCGGAUGUGAAAUCCCUGAGCUUAACUUAGGAAUUGCAUUCGAUACUGGUCAGCUAGAGUAUGGGAGAGGAUGGUAGAAUUCCAGGUGUAGCGGUGAAAUGCGUAGAGAUCUGGAGGAAUACCGAUGGCGAAGGCAGCCAUCUGGCCUAAUACUGACGCUGAGGUACGAAAGCAUGGGGAGCAAACAGGAUUAGAUACCCUGGUAGUCCAUGCCGUAAACGAUGUCUACUAGCCGUUGGGGCCUUUGAGGCUUUAGUGGCGCAGCUAACGCGAUAAGUAGACCGCCUGGGGAGUACGGUCGCAAGACUAAAACUCAAAUGAAUUGACGGGGGCCCGCACAAGCGGUGGAGCAUGUGGUUUAAUUCGAUGCAACGCGAAGAACCUUACUGGGCUUGACAUACUAGAAACUUUCCAGAGAUGGAUUGGGGGCUUCGGGAAUCUAAAUACGGUGGUGCUGGGUGUCGCCAGUCGUGGUCGGAGAUGUUGGGUGAGUCCGCAAGAGGCAACUUUUCUUAUCGCCGUUCCGUGGGCUUAGGGUCGCUGGCCGGGGAGGGCGGCAGUCAAUUUGGGCCUGGGGGCACGU